GUUGCUUGGGUUGCCAAGGUU
rnacentral:siRNA from 1 species